AAUGAACGCUGGCGGCAUGCCUAACACAUGCAAGUCGAACGAGACCUUCGGGUCUAGUGGCGCACGGGUGCGUAACGCGUGGGAACCUGCCCUUAGGUUCGGAAUAACUCUCCGAAAGGGGUGCUAAUACCGGAUAAUGUCUUCGGACCAAAGAUUUAUCGCCCUUGGAUGGGCCCGCGUUGGAUUAGCUAGUUGGUAGGGUAAAAGCCUACCAAGGCGACGAUCCAUAGCUGGUCUGAGAGGAUGGUCAGCCACACUGGGACUGAGACACGGCCCAGACUCCUACGGGAGGGGGCAGUGGGGAAUAUUGGACAGUGGGCGGAAGCCUGAUCCAGCAAUGCCGCGUGAGUGAUGAAGGCCUUAGGGUUGUAAAGCUCUUUUACCCGGGAUGAUAAUGACAGUACCGGGAGAAUAAGCUCCGGCUAACUCCGUG
rnacentral:rRNA from 1 species